GGGUUGUUAGCUCAGCUGGUAGAGCAACGGAAUGUUAAUCCGCAGGCCACAGGUUCAAAUCCUGUACAGCCCUCCA
rnacentral:tRNA from 1 species